rnacentral:rRNA from 1 species
AACGAACGCUGGCGGCAGGCUUAACACAUGCAAGUCGAGCGCCCCGCAAGGGGAGCGGCAGACGGGUGAGUAACGCGUGGGAACGUACCUUUUGGUUCGGAACAACUCCGGGAAACUGGAGCUAAUACCGGAUAAGCCCUAACGGGGAAAGAUUUAUCGCCGAAAGAUCGGCCCGCGUCUGAUUAGCUAGUUGGUGAGGUAACGACUCACCAAGGCGACGAUCAGUAGCUGGUCUGAGAGGAUGAUCAGCCACACUGGGACUGAGACACGGCCCAGACUCCUACGGGAGGCAGCAGUGGGGAAUAUUGGACAAUGGGCGCAAGCCUGAUCCAGCCAUGCCGCGUGAGUGAUGAAGGCCUUAGGGUUGUAAAGCUCUUUUGUCCGGGAAGAUAAUGACUGUACCGGAAGAAUAAGCCCCGGCUAACUUCGUG